rfam:Gossypium arboreum cultivar AKA8401 contig_3089_5, whole genome shotgun sequence.
AGAUAAAAAAUUCAUCCAUUGUGUUAUUAAAAACUAGCGUAGUUGACGAAAUAGUUAAAACAGUAACACGUGACCUGCCACAUUUAUCUCAUGCUGGCGUACACGAAUUUGUUUUUAACAGUAGAAAUGAAUGAUUUUUUUAACA